rnacentral:rRNA from 1 species
GAUGAACGCUGGCGGCGUGCUUAACACAUGCAAGUCGAGCGAAGCACUUAAGUUCGAUUCUUCGGAUGAAGACUUUUGUGACUGAGCGGCGGACGGGUGAGUAACGCGUGGGCAACCUGCCUCAUACAGGGGGAUAACAGUUAGAAAUGGCUGCUAAUACCGCAUAAGACCACGGUACUGCAUGGUACAGUGGUAAAAACUCCGGUGGUAUGAGAUGGACCCGCGUCUGAUUAGGUAGUUGGUGAGGUAACGGCUCACCAAGCCGACGAUCAGUAGCCGACCUGAGAGGGUGACCGGCCACAUUGGGACUGAGACACGGCCCAGACUCCUACGGGAGGCAGCAGGGGGGAAUAUUGCACAAUGGGCGAAAGCCUGAUGCAGCGACGCCGCGUGAAGGAUGAAGUAUUUCGGUAUGUAAACUUCUAUCAGCAGGGAAGAAAAUGACGGUACCUGACUAAGAAGCCCCGGCUAACUACGUGCCAGCCGCCGCCGUAA